AAAUUGAAGAGUUUGAUCAUGGCUCAGAUUGAACGCUGGCGGCAGGCCUAACACAUGCAAGUCGAACGGUAACAGGAAACAGCUUGCUGUUUCGCUGACGAGUGGCGGACGGGUGAGUAAUGUCUGGGAAACUGCCUGAUGGAGGGGGAUAACUACUGGAAACGGUAGCUAAUACCGCAUAACGUCGCAAGACCAAAGAGGGGGACCUUCGGGCCUCUUGC
rnacentral:rRNA from 2 species